UGGUGGGGGGCAGCUGCUAAUCUGGCCCGUUCCCUGAGACCCUAACUUGUGAGUGAUUGGAAUUGUACCUAUCACAGGCUAGAUUCUCAGGUAUGGGACGAUGAACGACGACGCCACCGAGCUU
rnacentral:precursor_RNA from 11 species